AUGCCGCCACCGCUGGACGACGAGGACAUCCUCCGGGAGAUCCUCAUCCGCCUCCGUCCUCAGCCAUCUUUGCUCCCUCGCGCGUCCGCUGUAUGCAGGCGCUGGCGCAUCCUUCUCUCCAACCCCAUGUUCCUCCACCGCUUUCGCAGGCACCACGAGAAACCUCCUCUGCUCGGCUUCUUUCAGGGGAUUAUUGGCAGCACGCGCUUAUUCCUUCCCAUACUAGACCCGCCCGACUGCAUCCCUGCCGCCCGCUUCUCCUUGCCCGAGAUCGGCAUACCCUACUGUGAGCAAUGGGACUUCCAAGGCUGCUGGCACGGGCUCGCCGUCCUGAUCAACCAGUUUCGGCGUCAGGUUGUCGUGGUGGAUCGGCUCACUGACCGACGACAUUGCAUGGAUUUACCACUAGGACUCGACAAUGAUAAAAAAUUGUGUGGAUGGUAUGGCGGGAUGUUGUGCACUGACAGAGAAGAUGGGCAUGUGCAUGGAGAUUGCUUCUCGAGUCCGUUCAAAUUGGCUUUGAUUUGCAACUGGGACACACAUAUAUUCGCUUGCCUCUAUGAAUCAGCGUCGCGUGUAUGGGGAGAUGUUGUCUAUGUGGCGUCUAUAGAGAGCAUAAAUUAUUCAAGACCAAGCGUCGUUGUUGGGAAUGCACUUUACUGGUUGCUUGAUCGAGGUGAUGUCCUUGCAUUUGAUUUUGAAAGGCAAAGUCUUCGUGUGAUUGAGAAGCCAGCAGACGCCCAUAUUACUUCUGACCAGUACACUUUCCAGCUCUUACGGACAAGGGAGAGUGGACUUGGUUUUGCUGUUUUAUCCAAACUUACCAUCAAGAAAUGGGAGAGGAAAUUGAACUGUGAUGGUGUCAUCGAAUGGGUGCUGCUGCAGAAAAACAUUCAGUUGGAGCAACUCUUUCCACGCAAAAGGCUACGUGACAUCACAUGGGUACUGAUAAUGGGAUAUGAUGAGGACACUAAUGUGAUUGUUCUGUCCACGGUGAUUGGAGUUUUCAUGCUCAAUCUUGAUACUAUGCAGCUCAAACCGGAGAAGAGGGAUGGAUUGGGAUUUGUGGACUACCAGGUUGCGAUGUCGGCAGGCAGGUUGCCUGGCAAUGGAGAGAUUGCAGUUCUAGCAAAUGGUGAUGCAGAUCGGAAGGACAGUAUUGAUCUUUCUGCCCCGCUGGACGACGAGAACCUGCUCCGUGAGAUCCUCCUCUGCCUCCCUCCGCAGCCUUCAGCCCUCCCACGCGCCUCCCUCAUAUGCACGCGCUGGAGGUGCAUCGUGUCUAACCCCCAAUUUCUGCGCCGGUUCCGCAAGCACCACCGGAAACCUCCUCUGCUGGGCUUCUUCGCAGGGUGGGACUGGGAGGGUAAAAUUCCCAUCUUCACUCCUGUUCUGGAAUCGCCCGACCACAUCCCUGCCGCCCGCUUCUCCGCGCCGUUGAGCCGAGAAUCCUCCGACCAGUGGGACUUCCAGGGCCUCCGCCACGGCCUUGCCGUGUUCAUCAACAGGUCCCGGCUUGAGCUUGUCGUCUGGGAACCCCUCACAGGCCAGCAACACCACCUGUCUUUUCCAACAGGGAUCCCUGCCAAUGAAACAAUUUAUGCCUGGUACGCCGCAGUACUAUGCGCCGACGAUGCCGAUGAUGGCCAUGUGCACGGUGAUUGCUUCUCGAGCCGGCCAUUCAAGCUGAGCCUUGCGGUCUUCGACAAGCCGGCAGACUUCCGCCGAGCUAUCAACCACUGGUUUUUAAGACUCUUUAGGACAGAGGAUAGUGGGCUUGGCCUCGCAUAUUUGGCACGACCGAUCAUCAAGCUGUGGAAGAGAGAAUCCAACUGUGAUGGCGUUGUAGGAUGGGUGCUUGUGCAAAAAACUAUUCAACCAGAAGAGCUCAUUCCAAGCGCAACGUGUAUUGACUACACAAGAAUAGUGAUGGUGGGUUAUGAUGAGGACACAAACCAGAUUGUUCUGUCUCCAUCAAUUGGCAACUUCAUGCUCCAACUUGACUCGAUGCAGAUCAGUCAUAUCAUUAAAAGAGACAAGAUAUGUUACCAAUCCUUGUAUCCCUACGCUAAUUUCUAUACUAUAGGUAAUAGCCCGGUAUGUAUAUUUGACAAGCAAAAAUAUUCUGGUUAG
rnacentral:rRNA from 1 species